rnacentral:rRNA from 1 species
UCGAGCGAUGAAGUUCCUUCGGGAACGGAUUAGCGGCGGACGGGUGAGUAACACGUGGGUAACCUGCCUCAUAGAGGGGAAUAGCCUUCCGAAAGGAAGAUUAAUACCGCAUAAGAUUGUAGUUUCGCAUGAAACAGCAAUUAAAGGAGUAAUCCGCUAUGAGAUGGACCCGCGUCGCAUUAGCUAGUUGGUGAGGUAACGGCUCACCAAGGCGACGAUGCGUAGCCGACCUGAGAGGGUGAUCGGCCACAUUGGGACUGAGACACGGCCCAGACUCCUACGGGAGGCAGCAGUGGGGAAUAUUGCACAAUGGGGGAAACCCUGAUGCAGCAACGCCGCGUGAGUGAUGACGGUCUUCGGAUUGUAAAACUCUGUCUUCAGGGACGAUAAUGACGGUACCUGAGGAGGAAGCCACGGCUAACUACGUGCCAGCAGCCGCGGUAAUACGUAGGUGGCAAGCGUUGUCCGGAUUUACUG